rnacentral:tRNA from 1 species
GGGCCUUUAGCUCAAUUGGUAGAGCGCUUCUAUGGCAUAGAAGAGGUAAGGGGUUCGAUCCCCCUAAGGUCCACCG